AUGCUGCGGGAUGCAGAGAACAUGCCAGGACUUCUGGCUGCUUUCCAGAACUUUUCUGAGGCCUUACUUCUGCUGAACAACCUGACAGCAAAGCACCUUGAGGAACUCAGAGAUUCUCCUCGAAGGACCAGCUUGGUCCAAACUUUGCAGCUCCUUCAAAAAUGCGUUCCUUUGCUCCAUGCAGCCAAGCACAGCCAGCUUAAAUGCUCCUGGGAUCAGCAAGUCAACCUCUCCAAGGAUUACGCUUUCCAGAUGAUGGAGAGGACCAUCAAAGAGCUUGUUUCCCUGCUUGUCAACAACACAGGCAGCAAGGAGCUACAGGACAGAAAUGGGAUCUUCUCCCAGCACGUGUGCAGGCUGCUGGCUCUCCUCUCUCACCCAGACCCAGCAUACCUCUCUGACAACGAGUUCAGCACUCAUGUGGAAGUGGUUAUUUUCUACUGCAUGCUUCUAGCAGACACGUCCGGGCCAGAUCUCAAGCAGGAUCUGGUAAAACACUGCUGUGUUCUCCUGCAGCUGAGGAAAAGUAUCUGCUGUCAUGUAAGCAAAGAGGAGGGACAGACAAGGCCAAGCUGGGGAAAAAGCAGCCUGGAGGAGAAAUGUCACACCAUGAGAGAGGAGGUGGAGAAUCUUGACCAGGCAGUGCUUACAGCUACUCUGCACCAAAUCCUCGACACCUUCUUUGAAGCUAAGGAGCCCCUGAGGCAGUUAGUCAAAGAAGCCCUUAGCCUUGGAGGUGCAGGGUGUUUUCCAGCAGUGCAAGGAGGACUUUUAAAGAAGCUUCAGCCCCUCACUGCCACCUUCUUCACACACGCCCAGCAGAUGCUCAGAGUGGCAGACUUUGUUCUGGCCAGGUGCACCGAAACACAAACUGCUAGAGAAAUCCAAGACUGGGUAGAGUAUUUAAAGAGACUCCUUGCCAGUCUCCCUCCACUGCUCACAGAAGUGAGCAGAAAUACAGCCCAGAGGAGCAGUGCUGAGCAGCUACAGUCCCUGUACCACACAUGGGCUGGAGCGACAGAAAGCCUCUUGCGGUGUUUUGAGGAGACAGUCAGCAUGCAUGAAUUCCUUAAGCUAUCCACCCAGGAAAUGGCCAAGCAAAGGGAAUGGUGUGAAAAGGCCCUAGAUAGUCAGGACCCUGAAAGGCUCUCCUGGCAUGCAGCUAACCUCACCCGUUGGGCUCGGUGGGUCGCUGAAGCUGCUACCAGGUAUGUGGAUAGUGCCACAGACCCCAUUUUCAGGAACGGCUUGCUGGUUUGGGUUGAACAGCUGGCCAGCUCCAUUCUUGAGCUGAAAGCAGCCACAGCCUUUUGUCCAGAGACACUCUCCUGCCUCCAGACUAGGGAUGUCUUUUCAAAGACAGUGAGCUGUCUGAUGGAUACUGCUCGCCACGUCCAAGAUGGGCUGGAUGGGUCCAACCACCCAGAUAUCCUCAGCCCUCUCCGGGAUCAAGUACGGAAUACUGAUGUUACAAGGGAGCUUGAACUCAGCCCGUCGUGUGCUGGGCUGAAAACCAUCACUGCUGAAGCUACAUUGCAGGAAGAUGCCUUAAGUCAUCCAUCUUCACAAGCAGGUAACUUACACCCAGAUGUUGUUCCAAGGAAAGGAGAUACGCUCUCUGUCAUUACAGCACUCCUAGCAGCAACGAGAGCGCACGAUAUGGCAGCUGUCAAUGCUGCUUGCUCCGCCUUGCUUGAAAUUUCCACCUGCUGUAUUGAGGCAGCAAAGGAGGCACUGCCUGUGGCUGAGUCUCCCCUGGUGGAGAUGCUGGGACAGUACCAGAAGAUUGUCUCACUGACACCGUGUGUUAUUAGCUUGGCCAGGGAAACAGCCGCAGGACAGCUCCGUCAUCCAGGCAGACUUCUCCAAAUGGCACUCUCACUCUCUGAAAGGAUCUGUGAGACCAAAGAGUGCCUAGCAGCUGUGGCAGGCUCUUGGUAUAGCCUGUCCCAACAAGUACUCAGCUUUAUCUCGUCUGCUGACCUCAUGAGCAGCAAACAGGCUUUGGACGAGACCAUGAUGGGCUUAGCAGAAGCAGUUCAGUUAGCAGGGGACAUUGCAAGCAUGUGUGGUAGUAAGCAAAAUCCUGUUUUCCCUGGUGUCUGGGAGAACUUUCUACAGGUCCAAGCCAAAUUUUCACAUGCUCAGAUGAACACCAAAGUGUUACUUGGGAAAGCAAUGUCCUUUGAGGGCUCCUGCAGGUUGGGAGAGGCCAGCCUGGAUCUGCACUGUGUCCAGUGGGCUGUCAGCAUGCACGUGCUCCUGGGUGCUGUGGAUCAGUUCAUAGGCAGGGACAUCCUGUUCCUGAGGGAGCUGAGAAGUGCCAUGAAGAGCAAGCUUUGUUCUCAGAGCCUCUUGGCUGCUGUGUCUGAGAACUCCCUCAGGCUGCAGGAGGCUGCCUGGCUCUCUUACUUGUCCUGCCCUGAAGACUGUGGUCGCAGUGAAAUCCUAGCCCUCAAGGAGGAGAUAAAGGUGCUAAUGGAAGCACUGCUGGAUGCCUCCAACACCCUCUUGGUCUCCCCGCUGUCUACUGCCAGCUUGUACAUUCGCUUUGAGCUCCUGCAGAGAGACUUGGCCCUCAGGGUCAAGGCGCUGCUGCUCCACCUGGAGGAGGCCAAUACCGAACAUCUACAGGUCAUCCGAGAUGUCCUUCGACCAGCCCUGUCUCCCCUCUCUGAGGAAGGAAGGGAGAAGAGCAAACAGGCUUUUGAACAGAAGGCAAGUCAGCUAAUGGCCAACAUUCAGUGGGUCAGAACUACCCUCCACGAUGUCCUGGAGACCACUGCUCAACUGCAGUCGCAGGGAAACCUGCUCUCCGUCGCAGACCACCUCCUGAUUCUGACAUCUGAUGUAGUGAGCAGCGCCAGCCAGCUCUUCCAAAGCCACCAGGACCCAAGGCAUCUCCACCUAGACAGCAUUGUCUGGUACUGGUCAGCACAAGCACACUACCUCGUCACGCGGCUUCAGGCUGUUCAGGGCAUUGGUGGGCACGUCCUGGAGCUCUUGAGACAAUGUUUGCAGAAUGCAGGGAACCGGUGCUCUCCAAGACAGCACAGCAGCGUAGCCAAGCUCUCCAUAGCCCAAGAGCUUGGUGCUGUGAGCCACACAACAUCAGCAGAAACUCACCUGACCAGGAGUGGAUGCACAAGCAGAAUGGCCAGAGAGGCACGUGAAAUGGUACAGUAA
ensembl:lncRNA